AGACUGCGGGAGAGACUUCCCUUGUGGAGGCACCGAAGGUUUAAGCGCACCGCCCUGCCGGGCGGGACGUGAAUCUCUCAGGUAAAAGUACCGCUGUC
rnacentral:ncRNA from 1 species